UUUACUCGUUGUGGCCUUUGAGCUUCUGCGUCCUUCUUCUUCUCAAACACUAACGCUUCCGACGGCAGUGUGGCCGAAGACGGAAUUCUCCGAUUCACUUCUCUCUUCUCCGCCGCGAACAAUCGAACGAGCUACCGACUCCUCCCCUCACGUUACUCAUCUCUCCGUCUACGUCUCCCUCAACUCGCUUUGCUCUCAGACUCCCUCCGUUUCUUCGUGUUUGUUUGUUGCGAUGCGAUGAUGAUUGAAGCAAUGGUGGUGAAGAUCGAUGAUGAUAGAUUGUUGAAGGUUAAUUUGCGGUGAGGAUUGCCGAUGAUUGAUGACGAAGGCGUGAUGUUAUGCGUUCUUGAUGCAGCUUCGGUAGAGGAACAAAGAAUUCAGAGAUUGCAAUCUCAGAGAAGGUGAAGACGAUGAAUCGAAAUUUGAGAGCGAUGCUGAUUGGCGAUGAAGAUUGUAGAAGUGGUGAAGAAAGCUUUGAAGAGAGAGUUGAAGAUUGAGAGAAGAUGACUGGUGGAGUUUUGAAGAUUGAAGAAUUGGUUGGAGAAAUGAUGAUUCUGUUAGAGGUUCAGAGAAAGCAUUGAGGAUGAAGGAAGGUUAAGAAGUGAUGAUCGAUGAAGAAGAGGAAAAGAUGGAGGAGAUGAAUGGAGAGAGCAUUGAGAGAGUGAAGGUAUGGAAUUAUGGUGGGUGAACCCUUGAAUCUGAGAAGUGAAGAUGAUUAUAUAGGGAGAGUUGAUUGAAGCUGGCUGUUAGCAUUGGAUGAGUUCUGUUAUAUGAAGACUGAAUGGGAACUGAGAGAGACAUCCGAAGUUUGUUACAAUUCGGUUAGAGGUACAGGGGUCAAGGGUGGACUUUUGUGUAUGAUGUCGGUUAUCUCGACUUGCCGUGAGUGAAGUUUUGAAGAGACAAUGGAGCAUUUGAAGAAGACUUGAAAUAUUUUCUUUUUUUUGUAGCUCUUUUCGUAACAGUCUGAUACAUUCGCGUCUUGUUGUAAUGAAGCAGUAUAGGAUCUUGUAACUUUGUAAUAUUAUCUUGACUCUUAUUAUGUAAUGGAAUUUUUUUGAAUAUUGAUUUUUUGUGUAA